rnacentral:lncRNA from 1 species
AGAGAGCGGUGAGAAUAGUGAUAAUGCCUCCGCAACUUCAUCAAUCUUCACUUCCUAUUCUAAAUCCUCUACUCAGAUUCUCACCUCCUUCCUCUCCUGAUGAUCACAAACACCAGAGAGAAUCAAAGAUCAAGAUGCCAAAGUUCACUGUGCGUAAACUCAUACCUCUUUUUAUCUUUGUUCUUUCAAGCCUCUCCGUUCUCCGACUCCUCCGGAUUUCAUACAAGUCUUCAUCCUCUGCUUCUAGGUCCUCAUCUUCAACCACAUAUCGUGUGAGUCCAUCUGAGUUCAGUCAGCAGCUCAGGGCUAAUGAGGGCCCAAGUGCUCUCACGGAAAAGGAACUGAAGCUCUUAUCAGAUACUGUUACUCGUAGAUCCCCUUGCAACGUUCUUGUUUUCGGGUUUGCACCUCAAUACCUCAUGUUAUCUUCAAUCAACACUAGAGGUAUUACCGUCAUUCUAGAAGAUGAGCCUGCAGAGAUAAUGAUACCAAAAGCUAAAGUAAACCCAAACAACACAAGAAUCUACAGCUUAAAAUACCAUCAGAUGGAAAUGAAAAAUGCUUACAAUCUGCUUCGACAUACUCGAGCCAAUCCUGCAUGCGCACCUAAGAUGAAUAAUCUACAACAAGGUUCAUCACAAUGCAAAAUGGAACUGAGGGAUUUGCCACUGGAAGUACACAAUAUCAAAUGGGAUGUGAUAGUUGUUGAUGGACCUCGUGGGGACAACUUAGAGGCACCAGGUAGGAUGGGGAGCAUAUAUACUGCAGCUGUGUUAGCAAGAGAAGGAAGUAAUAA